rnacentral:rRNA from 1 species
UACGUAGGGUGCGAGCGUUGCCCGGAUUUAUUGGGCGUAAAGGGCGCGCAGGCGGCUACGCACGUCCGUUGUGAAAUCGCUCGGCUCAACUGGGCGGGGUCAGCGGAUACGGCGUAGCUGGAGCAAGCUAGGGGGCAAUGGAAUUCCCGGUGUAGUGGUGAAAUGCGUAGAUAUCAGGAGGAACACCCGUGGCGAAGGCGGCUCUCUGGGUCGACCCUG